rnacentral:rRNA from 1 species
CCUACGGGGGGCAGCAGUGGGGAAUAUUGCGCAAUGGGCGAAAGCCUGACGCAGCGACGCCGCGUGAGGGAUGAAGGUCUUCGGAUCGUAAACCUCUGUCAGCAGGGAAGAACGGUCACUGUGCUAAUCAGCAGUGAAUUGACGGUACCUGCAAAGGAAGCACCGGCUAACUCCGUGCCAGCAGCCGCGGUAAUACGGAGGGGGCGAGCGUGAAUCGGAAUUACUGGGCGUAAAGCGCUCGUAGGCGGUAGGUCAAGGCAAGGGUGAAAUCCCCGCGCUCAACGUGGGAACUGCCGUUGAAACUGGCAAGCUGGAGUGUGUGAGAGGAAAGUGGAAUUCCAGGUGUAGGGGUGAAAUGCGUAGAUAUCAGGAGGAACAUCAGUGGCGAAGGCGACUAUCUGGCACAUAACUGACGCUGAGGAGCGAAAGCGUGGGUAGCAAACAGGAUUAGAUACCCGAGUAGUC